GUCUCAGCCCUGGUUACGACCCUGCCUUUGUCCCUGGUUUCCCCGUUUCGCCUGAAUCCCGUACAAUCUGGCCAGACAUGGACCCAGCGGAUGCACUGACACCUGCCAAUCGGUUUGAGCGGAUUGAAGGCGUUCUUCAGCGACACGAGGAGGCAGCCUGCCACCAGCGGCGGCCCCAGCUCCGGUUCCAGCUCCGGCCAGAGAGCUUCCGGAGGUUCUUGUCGGCACUCCGGAGCGCUACGACGGCGAUCCCAACACAUGUGGGGCGUUUCUAACGAACUGUACGCUUCUGUUCCACCUACAACCCCACACCUUCGCUUCAGAGGAUGCUAAGAUUAUCCAGACCAACUGGACCAGUGGAAGCUCAACAUAAGGCAGAACUGAACUCGGACUCAUCACUUCAGCACUGACCCCUGGUCCACAUAUGGUUUGUGAUUAACUUAAUGGUCACAUUUUUCCCAAGUGAAACAUGAGAAUAAAACAAUUCUCAUGUUUCUCUCAUGUUUGACAAUUAAAUAUCUCUACAUACUGUACUGUACAUUCACUGUGUUGGUAGAACACUGUUAAAUAUAAACUACAUUCAAAUACAGUUGAAUAUCUACAGAACACAAGCACUAAAACCUCUUUAUUUACAAA